CGUAAAAUAAUUGACUUAGUAUUUAUAGUUUAGUUGGUUUCAUGUAAAUUGGAUAAGUAUGAUUUGGUAAAUGUAAUAAAGAAUUGAUGAUUUUCAUGAGAUGAAAAUGGUUUUUUACUCCUCGAGGUAGCGUAUUUAAAAAAAAAAGGUUUCCAUGUGGGAAACGGUUUUAAAAAGGGUUUACUGGUUUUUGUAAAUCUUAGUAUUUCAAAAUAAGUUUCCGAGUGGGAAACGUUUUAAACUAAUAGAUGUGGAUUUAUGAAUAUCUAUGAUGAAAUGAAUAGUGAAUGUGAAUGGUGUUUGUAUGUGGAUGUUCAUACUUGUGGUUGUAUUUUGUACUUGUGCGACGCCGUGCAAAUACAGGAGAGACUUUGUCCGUGUGAACAGUAGAUACCCUGUAUUUGUGGCGGAUCUGACAUCCUCUAGGGUCAAGGUUUCAAAAAAAAAAAAAAUUGGGCACUUCCACAUUGGCUUUAAAUCCAAAAGGGACCUCGAGGCAUGACAAUAAUAAACUAUUAGAAAUUCUAUGUUGUUCGAAAAGGAACAAUUCAUGUAAGAGAGAACUAUUAACCUGGCCAACCCUAGCAAGAAGUAAACGUCCAGAUUUUUGAAAAUGUGAGCGUCGAUUCUUGGGGAUAAGAUAAUAGCAUUCUUAUAUAAGAAAGUAAAAAAUCGAUAUAGUAGGCAAGAUUAAUCUACAGGGGAAUACCUAAAUUUCUUGUUGUUCAGAUUUUGGGAUAAAAGUAUCAGAUGAUGGUUUUGAUCUAAGGAAUGAAUGGAUUAUAAAAGCAAAACUAUAGUAGUGAGAAGUAAUGUAACAGAAAGGAGAGUAGAGGAAUUGGCCAGGGUAGAGGAAUCGGCGACCGAUAGAUUUGAUGAGAUACGAUCCCAUCUGAAACGGCGAUAGAUUUGAUGAGACACAAUCACAUUUGAAACAAAAAUAGGGGAGGGAUACUGCGAUGGAGAGAGGAAAGAAAAUGACCUAUCGUACGAAAUGAAGAGAGAAAGAGAACGACACAGUCGAGAUAGGAGAAGGAACGCUGCAACGAACAGGAAAAAAAGGAAUGACGCGAGGAGGGGGAGCGGAGAGGAAACACUCUCUUCCGUAUAAAAAAUCGGAAUAGAGAGUGUAGCGGUUCGAUUUGAUUUAGAGGUUUAGAUAGUGAGCAGUUCGAUUCGGUUCAGAGGUUCAGAGUUAGGCUGUUCAUUGAUUUGGUUUAAAUGUUUAGAGACGCAAUCAGCAGUUUGGUUCAAGUGCUAGAAGAGCGGUCCGAUUUAGAAUUCAUUCGGUUCGGUUUUCGUACAAAAAAUCGGAAGAGAGAGAGAGUGGUUCGGUUCA
rnacentral:lncRNA from 1 species